AGUUCUCUGCGAUGUACGAAUAAUCUUCACCUUAAUUCAACCGACAUCUCAGACACGGGAAGCUGUGUUUAGCUGACUAUAACAAGCCUCCACAGAGUGGACGUUAGACGUAGUUAACAAGUUACCCACCUUAACUAUAGGGCGGGUCUGAAUUAAGUGAAGAAACGGCAUUGCGGAGAUUCU
rnacentral:other from 1 species